CCUCAACGUCGUCACCGGAGACGACUUCGGAUUGGUCAAACUGUUCGACUUCCCGUGCACAGAGAAGUUUGCCAAACACAAGCGCUACCUCGGCCACUCUGCUCACGUGACCAACAUCCGCUUCUCCCACGAAGACAAAUACGUGAUGAGCACAGGAGGAGACGACUGCAGUGUGUUCGUUUGGAAAUGUCUGUAAAACGCAGAGACUUCGUCUGCUGACGCUUUUCUCCAAAGCGCCUGAACACGUGACAGCACCACAAGUGGAUCCAGAGGGAGUAGAACCUGCAACCUUCAACCUUCGUUUCUACAGUUUACAAGCCGGAGAUGGAAGAAGACGAGACUUUUAGAUUCUGUCGCGGUGACGAGGCAGAAAACUUCAGACCAAACGAUGGAUCACAUGACCCUGAAGCUGAACAAAUGAAGAGACGUGAAGAAGCAGAAGAAAACAACAUUUGAGAUUUUCACAAAGACAAAGCAGAAGCCAUUAGUCCAGGGGCCAGAUGCAUAAAGUCUGUGUGCACACAAGACGAGCAUGGAUUCAUAUUCAGAUGUAUGAAGUUUGAUCUUCUGUCAAUCUUUGUGGACAGGUUCUCACUUUUUAAACUCUAUUUUGGGGCCAAACUAUUUCAUAUGUAAAUAAUACAUUUGGUGUGUUUUUAUCUGUUAAAAUAGUUAUUACUGAAGAAAGAAGAAAAACAUCAAUAUAACAGCUGAUUACAAGGGUUAUUAUUAUAUUAUUAAAAUGUUCCUUCUGUACUAGAAACGAAAAGAUCUGCUCAACUAAAGAUGCAAUCAUGGAAGAUUAAAGCUGCCAUUUGAAAAAAUUAAUGUAAUAAUAAAGAAGAAAUGUAGAAAUAAAAGCCUCAAUUAUCAAAUGAAUUAUCAGAUAAAAAUAAAUGAUGAUUACAUAAAAUGUAUUUAUUUAUUUGAAUUUUAAUCUUUUCUCAAUUUAUUAUGUUCUGUUUACAUUUAUUUCGCUUUAUUUGUAUUAUUUAUUUGUAUUAUUUCUUCACCCGCAUGUUAAUGAGGGGGCGUGUCAUGAUGAUAAUUGUCUCUGUCCCCACGACCAAUCGAUGGCCUCUGUCAUAUAGAUCAACCAAUGGCUGACAUCAUCAAGACACGCCCCCUCAGUAACAUACAGGAGAAGAAACACAAAUAAAUUAAGAAGUACAAACAUAAAUAUGGAAAUUAAUAAAUAGGAGAUAAAGAAAAACUUAAAUGAAUGUAAAUUGAAAAGAAUAAAUAAAUAAAUAUAAAAAUCAGUUAUUUGUUUGUAUUUAUAAUUAAUUCUUUAACCUGCACAUUUAUUUGCUAGUUGAGGCUUUUAUUUCUACAUUUCUUUAUUUCUUGUAAAGUCAGCUUUAGUCCUCCACAUCAACGAGGCUUCAUCAGACUCAUUCACAUUUACAGGUGUAAUAAGAUGGUUCAUGAAUAAUGUGUGUUAUUAUUUUCUGUCUCAUGGUUUGUGUAUAUUUUAUACAUCGGCCUCCUGGAUCGAUGCUGCAUUCAAGUCCCCUUUGGAAAACACAAGAUUGAAAGAGUUUCACAGUAAACACAAGUGAUGGGACCAUUUAAAGGAGAAACUGGUAACUGAUCUGCUGACAUGAUACAAAACAUUAAGGACGUUCUGCACUGGGGGAAAAGAUGCGUUUCAUAUUUAUAGAAACGUCCUGAAGUUUAAUUUGAAUUACUUUUCAAUUUAAAGAGCCUUUACUGCGUCUGUCGUUGGAUAUCAUCACACUUAAGUGCCUUUCUGGAUCUUUCUACUUCUGUUUGUUUUCUUCUUUUUCAUUGGGGAUAUUUCAUACACUUUUGUUAUUUUUAUUUCAUCCACAGUUGAACUUGUUUUGUAUUCUGUCUGGUGCUACACUGAGAAUGUUUUAUUCAACAGAAAUGGACGGAAAUAUGAAAAUAUUUUCUUCGCUGCUGCUUUUUGUUUUAAAGACCAUUGUGACCGUAAAACAACAAAAGAAAUACAUGUUCAGAGAAAUAUUUAUGGAAAUAUCUAAAUGUUAUUUAUGCCUACAUUACAGUGUGGAUGAGUUUUCUGUGUCUGGAUGUUAACUUCUAACUGUUGUGAAAAGUGUCAAAAGAGUUUGUGUGAAGAGUUCCAGAUGUUAAACACCUGCUUUGUUGAAACCCUUGAUUUCCUGCGGGAUCAGAAGGUCCCUGAAGUAAUCACGAGGCUCGUUGUUUUCUGUCUGAGAAGCAAGAAAAAAUAGUUUCAUCGACACGACUGCUUGAAAAAUUCACAAUAAAUGAAAGUUUGAUACUCGA